AUCCCAAGAGGGCACACAGGACACAAGAUAAAUUAAGGAAUUGAGACUUGGAAGUCGAAGUUAUCAAGGAAGGUUAAGAAGAAAGGAAAAGGAAAAUUAUGUUUAUAGGUCUAUAUGAGCACCUGAAGUAAUUAAGGUGCCAGGAUAGCACACGGAAUCUGCUUAACCAACGGUGGAUAGAAACACCAAGAAAAGUGAUGGCAAAUAACAGUCUCCCUGGGAAGAACAAAGGCACAUAAUGGGUGAAGAAGCACUAUGGCACCUGCCAUCUCAGCUCAGGUCAGUGGUGACAAGGAGGCUGGCGACCCAGGGCUUUGUUUUCAAGAAUCUCUCAGCUCAUGAUGGCAGCAACUUUACAGCUGGGAAGGUAUAGAAGCUUUCUAGCAGUUUAGAACCAGAGGUGUGAGGGACAAAAUUCCCACCUAUCCUUUCCAUAGGACUCCAAGUUUCUCUAAGGGUUGAUCUCUGCUGAAAUCUUGUUCCUCCUUGUUCUGCUGUGUAACCUCUUCUCAAGGAAUCUCCAGUACGUUCUGGCACUUUUCUCUCUGAAUUACACCUGAGUUUUUUUUGUUUUUUUCCAUCUAAAACUUUUUCUUUUCUUCCAGGAUGAUCUGACAAAUGACAUCUCUCUUACCCCACCCCUCAUUUUACCAAUGAUGUAAAAAUUACCUGCAUUUACCAAAUAUUCUUAAAGUCAUGUGAACUUGGAAAGCAUUUAGAUUUGUUUGUUUGAUAU